GUGUGAUUGAUGUUAACACCUUGGUUAGGAGCUCCUCUAAGGUCUGGUUGAUGUUAACACCUUGGUUAGGAGCUCCUCUAAGGUCUGGUUGAUGUUAACACCUUGGUUAGGAGCUCCUCUAAGGUCUGGUUGAUGUUAACACCUUGGUUAGGAGCUCCUCCAAGGUCUGGUUGAUGUUAACUCCUUGGUUAGGAGCUCCUCCAAGGUCUGGUUGAUGUUAACUCCUUGGUUAGGAGCUCCUCUAAGGUGUAGAUGUCUGGUUGAUGUUUACACCUUGGUUAGGAGCUCCUCCAAGGUCUGGUUGAUGUUAACUCCUUGGUUAGGAGCUCCUCUAAGGAGUGGUUGAUGUUAACACCUUGGUUAGGAGCUCCUCCAAGGUCUGGUUGAUGUUAACACCUUGGUUUGGAGCUCCUCUAAGGAGUGGUUGAUGUUUACACCUUGGUUAGGAACUCCUCUAAGGUCUGGUUGAUGUUAACACCUUGGUUAGGAGCUCCUCUAAGGUCUGGUUGAUGUUAACACCUUGGUUAGGAGCUCCUCUAAGGUCUGGUUGAUGUUAACACCUUGGUUAGGAGCUCCUCUAUGGUGUAGAUGUCUGGAUGCUGUUUGCUCUCCCUCAGCAGGACCACCUCCCACUCCACUCUGGUGAUCUCAUCCCUCAUGGCAGCCAUGGUGGUGAGGAGGGCCUGAGCCUGCUCUGCACUGAAGGGUCGCUACUCUUACCUGGCACCAUGACAGUCCCAGUCUGUUUCAAACAGCCUAAUGUUACCUGGCACCAUGACAGUCCCAGUCUGUUACCUGGCACCAUGACAGUCCCA
rnacentral:lncRNA from 1 species